GAUGAACGCUGGCGGCGUGCCUAAUACAUGCAAGUCGAGCGAACAGAUGAGGAGCUUGCUCCUCUGACGUUAGCGGCGGACGGGUGAGUAACACGUGGAUAACCUACCUAUAAGACUGGGAUAACUUCGGGAAACCGGAGCUAAUACCGGAUAAUAUAUUGAACCGCAUGGUUCAAUAGUGAAAGACGGUUUUGCUGUCACUUAUAGAUGGAUCCGCGCCGCAUUAGCUAGUUGGUAAGGUAACGGCUUACCAAGGCAACGAUGCGUAGCCGACCUGAGAGGGUGAUCGGACACCCUGGAACUGAGACACGGUCCAGACUCCUACGGGAGGCAGCAGUAGGGAAUCUUCCGCGAUGGGCGAAAGCCUGACGGAGCAACGCCGCGUGAGGGAUGAAGGUCUUCGGAUCGUAAAACUCUGUUAUUAGGGAAGAACAAAUGUGUAAGCAACUAUGCACGUCUUGACGGUACCUAAUCAGAAAGCCACGGCUAACUACGUG
rnacentral:rRNA from 1 species